rnacentral:rRNA from 1 species
UGCGUAGGCGGCUCUAUAAGUCAGUAGUGAAAUCUCGAAGCUCAACUUCGAACGUGCUAUUGAAACUGUAGAGCUUGAGUACAGACGAGGCAGGCGGAAUGUGUUGUGUAGCGGUGAAAUGCUUAGAUAUAACACAGAACACCGAUAGCGAAGGCAGCUUGCCAGACUGUAACUGACGCUGAGGCACGAAAGUGUGGGGAGCGAACAGGAUUAGAUACCCUGGUAGUCC